GUUCCGUAGGUGAACCUGCGGAAGGAUCAUUAAAGAAUGUCCCGUCUUUCGAAAUGGGUUCUAUUCCAAAACCGUGUCUACAUACCUUUGUUGCUUUGGCGGGCCGCCGUCGGGCGUUGGCCUCGGCUAACCGUGCCCGCCAGAGAACCCAAACUCGUUUUGUUUAGUGCUGUCUGAGUACUAUAAAAUAGUUAAAACUUUCAACAACGGAUCUCUUGGUUCUG
rnacentral:misc_RNA from 1 species